rnacentral:rRNA from 1 species
GCGAUUAGAGCAGCACUAAUGCACCGGAUCCCAUCAGAACUCCGCAGU